rnacentral:tRNA from 1 species
GCGGGUGUAGCUCAACCGGUAGAGCGACAGCUUCCCAAGCUGUAGGUAGCGGGUUCGAUCCCCGUCACCCGCU